UACGUAGGGGGCAAGCGUUGUCCGGAUUUAUUGGGCGUAAAGAGCUCGUAGGCGGCUUGGCAAGUCGGGUGUGAAAUCUCCAGGCUUAACCUGGAGGGGUCAUUCGAUACUGCCGUGACUAGAGUUCGGUAGGGGAGUGUGGAAUUCCUGGUGGAGCGGUGAAAUGCGCAGAUAUCAGGAGGAACACCCGUAGCGAAGGCGGCACUCUGGGCCGAUACUGACGCUGAGGAGCGAAAGCGUGGGGAGCGAACAGG
rnacentral:rRNA from 1 species